GGGGGGAGCCCAGGAUCCUGGGCUGUGUCCCCUGGCACCCUGGGAUCCAGGGCCUGAGCUGCUGGAAUCCCGCUCCUGGGGCUGCAGCUCCCG
rnacentral:pre_miRNA from 1 species